rnacentral:rRNA from 1 species
UACGUAGGGAGCAAGCGUUGUUCGGAUUUACUGGGCGUAAAGCGCGCGCAGGCGGCACUGUAAGUAAGGUGUGAAAUCUCCCUGCUCAACGGGGAGGGUGCACUUUAGACUGCAGAGCUAGAGGACGGUAGAGGGGGGUGGAAUUGCUGGUGUAGCGGUGAAAUGCGUAGAGAUCAGCAGGAACACCCGUGGCGAAGGCGGCCCCCUGGGCCGAACCUGACGCUGAGGCGCGAAGGCUAGGGGAGCGAACGGG